rnacentral:rRNA from 1 species
UACAGAGGGUGCGAGCGUUAUCCGGAGUUACUGGGCGUAAAGCGCGGGCAGGCGGUCUGAUGCGUCCGAUGUGAAAGCGCCCCGCUAAACGGGGCGAGGCCAUUGGAAACGGUCGGACUGGAGGGCAGUAGAGGUAGGCGGAAUUCCGGGUGGAGUGGUGAAAUGCGUAGAGAUCCGGAGGAACACCAGAGGCGAAGGCGGCCUACUGGGCUGCACCUGACGCUGAGCCGCGAAAGCCAGGGGAGCGAACGGG